ensembl:lncRNA
GGGGGGGGCUGCAAUGGCCUUGUGUCAGCAGUGGAGACCACAGAGCAGGGCCUGGGACUCAGAGACUGGGCUCGGAGCCCAUAGCCUGGAGGCCCAAGACUACACCCACUGGCCUGGACCAGCCCAGCACAGCACAGCACAGCCUCGACCGGCCCAUCCCAGCUCCCCUCAGCCCCCUCCUCCCCGUGGCCUCCCUGCACCUCCACCAGCUGCGCUUUUCUGGCUCCAGCUGCUAGGGAGGGAAGUGAGAAUGAGAGGAAAAGGGUAGAGGGGAUAUCCAAUUUAAGAGGUAGGAAAGGCAGACAGUAAAGGGGAAUCAAGAGAGGGAGAGAUACGCUGGGGA